rnacentral:rRNA from 1 species
AACGAACGCUGGCGGCAUGCCUAACACAUGCAAGUCGAACGAGAUCCUUCGGGGUCUAGUGGCGCACGGGUGCGUAACGCGUGGGAAUCUGCCCUUAGGUUCGGAAUAACAGUUAGAAAUGACUGCUAAUACCGGAUGAUGACGUUAAGUCCAAAGAUUUAUCGCCUGAGGAUGAGCCCGCGUAGGAUUAGCUAGUUGGUGUGGUAAAGGCGCACCAAGGCGACGAUCCUUAGCUGGUCUGAGAGGAUGAUCAGCGACACUGGGACUGAGACACGGCCCAGACUCCUACGGGAGGCGGGAGUGGCGAAUAUUGGACAAUGGACGCAAGGAUGAUCCAGCAAUGCCGCGUGAGUGAUGAAGGCCUGAGGGUUGUAAAGCUCUUUUACCCGGGAUGAUAAUGACAGUACCGGGAGAAUAAGCCCCGGCUAACUCCGUG